rnacentral:tRNA from 1 species
GCGGGUGUAGCUCAGUUGGUUAGAGCGCCUGAUUGUGGUUCAGGAGGCCGUGGGUUCAAUCCCCAUCACUCGCCCCA